GAGGAAGACUCUCGGGAUAUGGAAGGCCCUCGGACGGAGUAGACGAGGAGGCGGGAUGGACGCAUGAUACUGUCCGCUGUCUAGGAGUGUAGAGCAUAUUGGAUUCAUCGCAAGGGACCUUGUUUCUUUAUUUUAUAAAAGGGGAAUGUUUGGGGAAUUACUGUUCUUAAUCGGUGAGGAAGACUCUCGGGAUAUGGAAGACCCUCGGACGGAGUAGACGAGGAGGCGGGAUGGACGCAUGAUACUGUCUGCUGUCUAGGAAUGUAGAGCAUAUUGGAUUCAUCGCAAGGGACCUUGUUUCUUUAUUUUAUAGAAGGGGAAUGUUUUGGGAAUUACUGUUCUUAAUCGGAAAGUGAGACUAUCAGUCAGCUGCACGCAAAGAUAAAGGAUAUCCUCAACGGGCUUCACACAAUCGACCAUCAGAUAGAAAAUUGAGACUUGAUCAGAACUACAUGAGCAAACUAACACCAAAAUCGAGAAAGGUAUUGUGCUUGUUGGAGGAACAUCAAAAGGAAAAUCCAGAACUAAAUUAGAACCAGAUGGCGAGUCUGCCCUAGACUCAGAUGAUAAAGAAUACUUGGUGAACUUGGUAAGAAAAAUGUUCAUCAGGAGAAAGAAAUACUUUACCAACAAGGAUUUGCAGAAAAUCCACUCCACCUUCAAUCCUAACAACAAGAAUGUGACAUGCUUUGGAUGCAACAAGAAGGGGCACUGCAAGAACGACUGCCUGAGUCUAAAGAAGAAGAAAUCCCUUAAGGCACCUUGGGACGAAUCACCCGCGAAGGAAUUAGAUGGACCAGAAUUGGAGAGUGAAUCGGAAGACGGGUCUGAACCCGAGUCGAGCCACGAGUCUACACUCAUUUCCGAAGGUUCCGAUAAGAUAAAGGUAAAUGGAAGAUGGAUUAGCAGAGGCUGUAGGGCGAUGCGAUAAAGAUGUGUGUGCAAGGAACUUGGAAUAAAGACUCUUGGAGAGUAGCCCACCUAAAGACUUAGAAUUUCAGCUUUUAGUUACUUUUCUGCACUUUUAGGAUGCUAAGUCUCAUGAUUUGUGAACCUAAGGGUUUUGCCAUGCUUAGACUGCUAAUUGUCUUGUUAAUAGAUAGUAAAAUAUGAGUGAUAUUAUGUUUUAGUGAUUUAUGGAAGUUCUGUAUGAAGUCGGGUCUGAUUUCUGCAUAGAUAGUAAAAUGUGAGUGAUAUUAUGUUUUAGUGA